AACGAACGCUGGCGGCGUGGAUUAGGCAUGCAAGUCGAACGUGAAAGGGGCUUCGGCCCUGAGUAAAGUGGCAAACGGGUGAGUAACGCGUGGAGAACCUGCCCGGAAGCGGGGGAUAACACCUCUAACGAGGUGCUAAUACCGCAUGUGUCUGCGUGAGCGCAUGCUCGCGCAGGUAAACGUGGCCUCUGCUCGCAAGCUACGGCUUCCGGAUGGCUCUGCGCUCAUUAGCUAGUUGGUGGGGUAACGGCUCACCAAGGCGACGAUGGGUAGCUGGUCUGAGAGGAUGGUCAGCCACACUGGGACUGAGAUACGGCCCAGACUCCUACGGGAGGCAGCAGUCGAGAGGCUUCCGCAAUGGGGAAACCCUGACGGAGCGACGCCGCGUGAGCGAUGAAGGCC
rnacentral:rRNA from 1 species